GUGGGGAAUAUUGCGCAAUGGGGGAAACCCUGACGCAGCGACGCCACGUGAGCGAAGAAGGCCUUCGGGUUGUAAAGCUCUGUUUUCAGGAAAGAAUGUCGUAGGGAGUAAUAUGCCCUGCGAAUGACGGUACCUGAAGAGGAAGCCCCGGCUAACUACGUGCCAGCAGCCGCGGUAAGACGUAGGGGGCGAGCGUUGUCCGGAAUUACUGGGCGUAAAGAGCACGUAGGCGGAAACUUAAGUCAGGUGUGAAAGACCGGGGCUCAACCCCGGGGUUGCACUUGAAACUGGGUUUCUUGAGGGCAGGAGAGGGAAGCAGAAUUCCUGGUGUAGCGGUGAAAUGCGUAGAAAUCAGGAGGAAUACCAGUGGCGAAGGCGGCUUUCUGGACUGACCCUGACGCUGAGGUGCGAAAGCGUGGGUAGCGAACGGGAUUAGAUACCCUAGUAGUCC
rnacentral:rRNA from 1 species